UGGUUUAAAUUGUGAUUAUAUAUUAACAUUCUCUUCCAAAAAAAAAAUCAACAAAAAAUAUAUAAUUGCAGCUAUUAUUAUUUUUAAUUUAAUAACUAAAAAAUCCUUACAACAAACAUCAUUAUUUAGAAUCUGAGAAACCCUGAUCAUGUCAUCAACCACCAAUUGAACUGCACUAUCAUCUCCUAACUUUGCCAAGCAAUUCAAUAACAUCUUGUGCAAGCUGAAGUUGGAUGAGAAAACCCAUCUUUCAUCUUCACCCAA
rnacentral:lncRNA from 1 species